AGUGAACGCUGGCGGUAGGCCUAACACAUGCGAGUCGAACGGCAGCACAGGAGAGCUUGCUCUCUGGGUGGCGAGUGGCGGACGGGUGAGGAAUACAUCGGAAUCUACUCUGUCGUGGGGGAUAACGUAGGGAAACUUACGCUAAUACCGCAUACGACCUACGGGUGAAAGCAGGGGACCUUCGGGCCUUGCGCGAUUGAAUGAGCCGAUGUCGGAUUAGCUAGUUGGCGGGGUAAAGGCCCACCAAGGCGACGAUACGUAGCUGGUCUGAGAGGAUGAUCAGCCACACUGGAACUGAGACACGGUCCAGACUCCUACGGGAGGCAGCAGUGGGGAAUAUUGGACAAUGGGCGCAAGCCUGAUCCAGCCAUACCGCGUGGGUGAAGAAGGCCUUCGGGUUGUAAAGCCCUUUUGUUGGGAAAGAAAUCCGGCUGGCUAAUACCCGGUUGGGAUGACGGUACCCAAAGAAUAAGCACCGGCUAACUUCGUGCCAGCCGCCGCAGUAA
rnacentral:rRNA from 1 species